CAUUGGUUCACGGAGACGUCGUCCGCUGAUAACGCAUUAAACUGUCAACACUCGUAGCCAUAGACUGAACAUAAAGAUCUUUAUAUACAGUCUAUGGUCGUACCGGAGCCUUGUUUUGUUUCCACUAGCGACGAAACGAACAUGUGGCCGCCGACAGAAGCAGCUUAAAGUCUGUGAGGGAGAAUUUGAGCAGCAGCGACGUGAAUUUGUGCCGGAAACGGGUGAAGACGGAGUUAGCACUGGAAAUGAGGGAAACCUCGAUGUCCUUUGGAGUAUAAACAAAGUGUCCCUGGUCCCAGAGCUGGAUGCUUCACAUGUGUGGUUGUUCUCCCACCAACUGGCCUAGUCUCCAUCUGUGGGAUGCUGCUGCUGACCUUCCUCCAGCCCACUGCUUCCAGCUGCCCAUUUCCACCAAUCUACUCUGCAUCACCCUCACUGUAGUUGAUAUGCUCAUCUACAUACUGUUUAAAUUUUACUACCAGCUAUAUAUGUAGUAUAUUUACUGCCAGAGCAGAUAAACUAUCAAUCAAUUUCAAUGUUAGCUUGUACGUAUCAUUUAGCUUAUCAUACAUGUAUAAAAUUGUGUGUUAUAUGUUCCUUGUUCCCCACCUCCCUCUUCCCCCAUCCCUCCCCCUCUCUACCUCUUCUGUCCCUCUCAACCCGCCCAGCCAGCAGGCAGAUGGGUCCCCCCACAUAAAGAGCCAGGUUCUGCUCAAGGAUUUUUUCCCUGUUAAAAGGGUGUUUUUGUUGCCACUGCCGCCUUAGGGCUUGCUCUGGGGGUCAGGCAUAUGGGUUCUGUAAAGCGUCUUGAGACAAUUUGACUGUAAUUGGUGCUAUAUAAAUAAAACUGAAUUGAAUUGAAACUGAAUUGUUCCAAGCAGGCACCAGUUAAGAUUUGCAGACUGUCUGACACAGAUGUGAUAACAUAGAAAUUAUUCAGCUUUAUAGAGUGUAAGUUAAGUCACAUAGUGUUAAGAUAAGGAUUAUUAAUCUUAUUCAUAAUGUUAAGUGAUACUGACUCUUUUUAUCUUUUUAUAGUACUACUACUCUUUCCAUUUAGAUAUUUUUUACAGUGUAACUCCACUUCAUUGAACUUUUAACCGCCAGUAUCACGUUGUGUUUGUAAAGUCAUCAUCACUGCAUCAGGUCCUGGUGUGGUUGUGUAUUUCUACUAAACAAUGGUGUGUACUAACCUCCUCCUGUGUACAGUUGCCUGGUUCACCUUGGACCCGGCCUCUGCUCACCCCGACAUCAUCUUCUCCAACGACAACCUGACGGUGACCUGCAACAGCUACGACGACCGGGUGGUCAUGGGGAACUCCGCCUUCUCCAGAGGCGUCUAUUACUGGGAGAUGACCAUCCAUCGCUAUGACAACCACCCCGAUCCAGCGUUGGGCAUCGCCCGGGCCGACGUGCUGAAGGACGUGAUGCUGGGGAAGGAUGACAAGGCCUGGGCCAUGUACGUGGACAACAACCGCUCCUGGUUCAUGCACAACAACUCACACACCAACAGCUUUGACUGGUGAAAAACAGACAACAGUUGUAUGAACAGUCUCUCCCAUCUCAGCUGCUGAAGCUUGGAACUCCUUCAGAAGAGUAUUAGGUGUCCUGGUGACCUCUCUCACUUCUUUUGUCCUCGGUCACUCAUUCUUUACUGGAUUAAAAGCAGUAACAGGGGAAAAACUUCUAAGUGGGGUGAAUACUCUUUACAGGCACUGUACUUGCUGAUGCUUUAUUUUUACUUUGUAGUAGAAAUUAAGGAAACCUCAUCAGAAAAUACAAAUAGAGAGAUGAUUAAAACAUGAUCGAUCGAAUGCAACAUUAACCAAGACACUAAACAAGAGAUUACACCUGAAUUCUGUGGAGCCUGAUCUCAAGGACUUUAAGUUUGUGGACGACUUCAGGAACUUGUACUGGACCCGGCAUGGGGAAAUCUUCUUGGCAGACGUUCAGUUUGUGUCCAGUGUGCAUAUCUGUGCCGCUCUGCUUGGAAAACAAACACACAAACACAGUGGAAGUCAAGGUUUCCUGCAGUAUUGAAGAACUGAUGCCUUGCCUGAAAUACAGAGCACCACUACUGACAUCUGAAGACACUUUGACCUGUUGUAGUUUAACAUUCAGUUGUCUGAGCUUCCAGAAAGAUUAACACUCAUAUAGAAAGAAAAUGACUGCAGGGGUUUAAACUAGGUACACCUGGAUAAAAUACUUUUGGCUCACAAUCCAAGGUGAGUCAUGAAAUACUUAGCAUCUGCUGAUAACGUAUCCCUCCAUAAUACACACAUCAGCUAUUGUAGAUGAGCUGCAGUACCUCGUUGCACCACAGGGUGGAGCUUCUUGCCAGAGACUUAUAUGAGGCUCACUGACAUGAGGCCAGCAAGCAAGUGAUGAGUUAAGCUGGGUUUAUAUUCGCUAAAUAUCCAACAUCCCAGUAGAAUAUUUAACACUGAUGUGAUGUCUUUUCAACAUUAUGUGGUGAGAACAAGUUUAUGCUGAUGCUGAUCACGUCAGAAUUCCCAAUCUUACCUACAUCCCCAGAUUAACCUGGACCAGAUUUCUGUGUCAAGACUGGCCACAGUUCUUCAAAACAGUAUCACACUAAAUUUCACAACAAUAUCCAAAAUAUCCAAUGCAGAAUAGUGUGUACACUGUUGCUGAGACAACUUUUACAUACCUUACUGUGACGUUGAUUGAAUGCUUUCUUUCUGGUGUGGAUCUGCUGGUGUUGUUUCAGGGAAGCCAAAGUUCUAAAAGUCUUAUUACACUCGUCACAUCUGUAGGGUCUGUCCUCAGUGUGGUCACGUUGGUGAGAGACUCCAAUGUUGUUGAAGCCUUUCCCAUACUGGUCACAGCGGUUCGGUUUAACCCUGGUGUGGGUAACUUCAUGAGCUUUUAAGUGUGAGAAUUGUGCAAAUGGUUUUCCACAGUGAUCACAUACGUACACGUCAUGUCCAGUGUGGAUGCGCUGGUGACAUUUUAGGCUCCUCUGGUGCUUGAAAGUUUUUUCACAGUAGUCACAGUGGUACAGCUGUCUACCAGAAUGGGGGCAUUUAUGGAUCAAUAACUGUUCAUGUUGAGUAACGGUUUUCACACACUGAUCACAGUUGGAUGGUUCACCUCCUCUGUGGACGAUUUGGUGUGUUGUUAAAUUACUCUUGGUAGUAAAAGCCUUCCCACACUGAUCACAGAUGAAUGGUCUAACUCCACUGUGAAUGAGUUGAUGGCUUGCUAAAUGUAACUUGUAAGUAAAUGUCUUCCCACAUUGAUUACAGAUGAAUGGUCUAACUCCACUGUGAAUGAGUUUAUGGGUUCUUAGGUUGCCCAUCUGAGUAAAAGUUUUCCCACACUGAUCACAGCUGAAUGGUCUAACUCCACUGUGAAUGAGUUGAUGUUUUGUUAAACUACUCUUGGAAGUAAAAGUCUUCCCACACUGAUCACAGCUGAAUGGUCUAACUCCACUGUGAACGAGCUGAUGGGUUCUUAGGGCGCCCAUCUGAGUAAAAGCCUUCCCACACUGAUCACAGCUGAAUGGUCUAACUCUAACUCCACUGUGAAUGAGUUGAUGGCUUGUUAAUGUCCUCUUGGAAGUAAAUGUCUUCCCACACUGAUCACAGCUGAAUGGUCUAACUCUAACUCCACUGUGAAUGAGUAGAUGGCUUCGUAGAUUACUCUUGGUAGUAAAUGUCUUCCCACAGUGAUCACAGCUGAAUGGUCUAACUCCACUGUGAAUGCGUUGAUGUCUUGUUAGUUCCCUCUUGUCAGCAAAUGUCUUCCCACACUGAUCACAGCUGAAUGGUCUAACUACACUAUGGACGAUUUGGUGUGUUGUUAAAUUACCCUUGGUAGUAAAUGUCUUCCCACACUGAACGCAGCUGAAUGGUCUAACGCCACUGUGAAUGAGUUGAUGGUCUGUUAAUUUCCUCCUGUGAGUAAAAGUCUUCCCACACUGAUCACAGCUGAAUGGUCUAACUCCACUGUGAAUGAGUUGAUGGCUUGUUAAUGUACUCUUGUGAGUAAAAGUCUUCCCACACUGAUCACAGCUGAAUGCUCUAACUCCACUGUGAAUGAGUUGAUGGCUUGUUAAUGUACCCUUCUCAGUAAAAGUCUUCCCACACUGACCACAGAUGAAUGGUCUAACUCCACUGUGAAUGACUUGAUGUCUUGUUAAAUGACCCUUGAAAGUAAAUGUCUUUCCACACUGAUCACAGCUGAAUGGUCUAACACCUCUGUGAAUGACUUGAUGGAUUGUUAAAUUACCCUUGGAAGUAAAUGUCUUCCCACACUGAUCACAGCCGAAUGGUCUAACUCCACUGUGAAUGAGUUGAUGUCUUGUUAAUGUCUUCUUGGAAGGAAAUGUCUUCCCACACUGAUCACAGCUGAAUGGUCUAACUCCACUGUGAAUGAGUUGAUGUUCUGUGAAUAUCCUCUUCUCAGUAAAAGUCUUCCCACACUGAUCACAGCUGAAUGGUCUAACUCCACUGUGAAUGACUUGAUGGAUUCUUAGGUUGUACAUCUGAGUAAAAGUCUUCCCACACUGAUCACAGUUGAAUGGUCUAACUCCACUGUGAAUGAGUUGAUGUCUUGUUAAAUUACCCUUGGAAGUAAAAGUCUUCCCACACUGAUCACAGCUGAAUGGUCUAACUCCACUGUGAAUGAGUUGAUGGGUUGUUAGAUUACUCUUGGAAGUAAAAGUCUUCCCACACUGAUCACAACUGAACUGUUUGUCCACAGUGUGAAUUCGCUGGUGAAUUCUUAGCUUUGUUGCUGUGAUAAAAGUCUUGCCGCAUUGAUCACAACUGAGUGAUUCAUCUCUGUUUGUUGUUGUUGGGGAACCGUUGUUUUCCUCCACAGAUUUCUGAUGUCUCACUCCAUUGUUGUUUUCACGUUUCUGUAGCAACAGUCAAAGACACAAACAGACGCAGUGAUUUAAAUGCAAUUGUGAAACAAGAAAAGCACUUAGAGUGCAGUACUUUGUCAAGGCUGCUCAGUCGUAUCAUGUCAGACAGAUGAAAUUUUUAAUAAAAGUUUACCUUGGGCUGAGCACAGGCGUGUUGUGCAUGUGUAUAUUAUGUACAGAUACCGAAUCGCGUGACGUAAAUGUAGCGGACGGCAGGAACUGAUGGGACUCGGAAACACUCUCACAAUUUAAUCAACUGUUCUUGGAUGGUUUCCGAUAGAUAAUUCCCAAUAUAAGUCCACAGUGGUCGAUUUUUACAAGGAUCGCAUUACUCUCUUUCCAUAUUCUGGCAUUUAGCAAAAAGGGAUCAUUUUGGCAAUCCUAAAUGACCUAAAACAGGAGAAGCGUCAUUUGAUUUCAUGUGAGAUAUUGUUGAAAAAAACAAACCAAAAAAAAAAAACAAGGUCAUAUGUCGUUUUAUACAGUGUAAGUAAACUUCUGGUUUCAACUGUCUGAAUUUCUUGAGAAGGAAAAAGGCCUGCAAACUUACAAUGCCCAAAAGUAUUAUUCUCUACCAAAGAAAACACUCAUCCUUUCCUUCCAGAACAUCUGGCUUGAAAAACAAGACUUUUCCUUCAUUAUUUAUCUACGUCACCAUGCAACACAGUUGUGGAAUGUUUUACUAGCAGUUAGUUUGGCCUUAAACAAAAAAUAAACAGCUUCCUAGCUGUCCACCAUUUUAUCCUCAGUUGAUCUGCCUCUGCAGAGCUACGUCUCUCCAGCCAACAUUACCUGGCUUUGGUUGAUCAUCUAUUCAACUGGAGCAACUUUAGACAUUCCAAAGAAUAAAUUAAUGAUGAUGAUAUUACAGUGAUAUGUUUCUCACUUUUUGUGAAGAAUCCAUUUUUCCUCCGUUGUUGAGCUCAGAGAAAAUGGCUGACAACGUUCCUCUGCUCCUCCGUCAGACUCUCCUCCUCCUGCCAAUCACCUGUGACAUCAAACAGAUCUUAAUUAGGAUACCACUCUAUAUGCAAGUGUCAGAGUGUCCUAUAUGUUCAUCAGCCAACACAGAGGACACAUUUCAACUCAAUAGUUGACUUUUAGCUCUUUUCAAUGUCACCUAAAACUCAUACAAAUCAACUUGCACACAAAACAGACAUGGAAAAAGACAAUAAAGACAAUAUAAAAAUUCUACUGCAGGUGAUUCAAGACAGGAAUGCUGCUAGAAAACUGGUUAUGCUGGAAGUUAGUGUAUGUAUUUUCCUGCUCAGUGAUCCUCAAUAAAGCCACUUAUUUCUAAUGUGACUGCUGUACAUCAGAGCUCUGAAACUUUCAACUUCAUUUAUAUCCAUGUGAUUUUGAAGAAGUGCAAUGAAGGAGACGUGGAAAUCUCUUAUCUUUCUUGGGCCAAAUAAAAGUGGAAUUAAUGUUACUGACUCAAUAUUCUUUAAUAUGAAAUACCUGGACACAAACAUCAAAAAUAAGUUAUUUCCAUUUAACUGUGUAGCGUGACUACUAAAGUAGUUAAGUUGAACUCGUUAAUAAAGAGGCACCACCCUCAGUUUGUCUCAGGAAAUUAUCAAUUUAAACAAAGUCUCAAAGACUUUGAUUAAAAUGAAGUUGAUCAGUCUGAUAUAUAGAAGUCUAGAAUCAGGUUAAUAGGCUAAAGGACGAGGCUUAUGGUGAAAGGAGGGUAGAUAGUGUUAGGAUUUAUUUUUUAAGGUACUACUAACUGAACACUGAAAUUGAUAUUGCAUAUGAGUAAUACAAUAUUGAUCUUAAUAACCAUUUGUUGUGUCAUUAAUGUAUGAGUUGUGUUGACCUGAAUAGAGAGAGAGCAUUAACCCCAGGGUUAAAUACAUGAUGGAUACAGACAGGUCAAGCUGGAAAGGUACAGCUGCACACACACACACAUCAGUACAAAGAGUGUUUUCACACCCACACACACAGACACACAAAGAUAGAGAGACUAGCUUUGCUUCAUAGUAUAUUCCUAUUUCCUUAUAAGGGAAAAACUAAUUGCACUGAAACUGCAAAACUCAGGGUUGUUUAAGGGUGGAAACCAUAAUAAUCUUCCCUAUGAGACACCACCAGUAGCUGCAUCACAUCACAGCUAACAAAGGAAUAAACAAACUGGUAGAGAAUGUGAAGAAGUUUGCAGCAGGUUUCUUUUUACAGCGACCCCCUCCGGGAGAACUAAGUCUAAACCAGUUUAUCCCCACCAUUAGCCAAUCAUAUUUCAAUAUUUGAAUUAUAUGUUUGUGUUUUAUAACCAAUCACAGUUCAUCAUACUGUAUAAAAUGUUCUGUUCAUGUCAGAUUUUAUCCUUUUCUGGGAGGCUGUUCCAAACAGAAAAUGUUCGUGUACAAGAUUCUUUUAAGGUGUUGAUAUUUAGAAAAUAAACAGCUUAAUUGGAGAGAAGUAGUUUGUCUUCUGUCUCAAAAAACGAACACACUCAACAAUAGCAAACAACCUAACACAAUGAAUCUAUGAUCUGAGUUACGAUCGAUAAAUUUAGGAGUGAAUAAAUUUAACUAUUAUCAAGUUAUUACAGCAUCAACCCAACCAGGAGCAAACAGGAGAGGCUAGUUUUACCUACUUUGUGCAGCGCAGAUCAGUUUGUCUUCAGGGCUGAUGAAAAAUAACUUGUUUAACGGUGGCUCUCGUGUUUUCUGUUGGCGUUAGCCAGGUAAUACAAAAGGAUUGUGAAAACUGCGAGCAAAGGCGCGGUGGAAUUGAGAAAAAGAAAAAAUGUUUUCUAUCGUUUCUUAUUGGCUCGUCAAAAAGAAGAUUAAAGCACAUAAGCUCAGGCUUAUAAAGAAAGUGAGCAGUGUCUGAAUAUGUCGCAAAAUUAUAAAAGAGCGACAAAAAUGAGACAAAGAAAAGAGCGCCAAAACGCCGAAAUACAGAAUCUGAGAUUAUUUGAUCCACUUGUGUCAUAUUGAAGUUUCUGAUCCAAUGACAUGAUGAGAAGUAACUGAAAAUUCCAGGCUUUAAAUCUUAAAUGGUUCCUGAGAUUUUGUUGUUCAAACAGCCUCAAAUUUAAAUGUGAGAAAAAAAACGUGCUGAUGUACAUGUUAAUUGGUUUUACAAAGAGACGAUUUGUUCGUUUUAAUUUCUCUGCAGGAUUAUUAGAAGGAGAUCUGGUGGAAAAGGCCAUCUAUAUGUUUUAUUCAUCUGUUCAAUUACUGCUUAUGUGCAUUCAUUUAUUAGUAGUAGGCAGCGGGACUACACUUUUGUAGGUAAAUUACGAGCACCACCUCAGUUCACUGAGAAAAUGAUCAUUUUAGAUUAAAUCUCAAAGAGGCUUUAAUGUAAAUGAAGUUGAUCAGUCUGUGAGCUGAAAGUCUUUAGUUGUGAUUGAACUGACCUCAGCUCCCACACAAAAAAAGACACCAAACCGUGAAUUGGUUGAAGAGAGUUGACGAAGCUGUGGGUGAAAAUGUAGAGAGGUUGUGAGUGUGAACCUAGCAGAAGAUGUGUGAGAAGCUCUUGUCCCUCCAGAUGCCGGAGAAGGCCUCGAAGCGGACGGACUGUGUUUGCUGGAAGCGGCUCGGCAGCAGCUCGCAGUCCGUCUUCACCCGUUUCCGGCACAAUUUCACGUCGCUGCUGCUCAAAUUCUCCCUCACAGACUUUAAGCUGCUUCUGUCGGCGGCCACAUGUUUGUUUCGUCGCUAGUGGCAACAAAAGAAGGCGACGGGACGACCGGCGACGGUUUAGUGCGUUAUCAGCGGCCGACGUCUCCGUGAACCAAUGGGCUCGCCCGACAUGAGCUGCACAUGCGCAGAAACGAUCACUGCAAAACGACAUGGAUUAAAGUGGACUUUCUGCUCCAUAUCGUCUCUGACUGGCCUGGAAUCUAGAAUACAAUGAAAGAUUAAUAUUUCUAAAAGAAAAAUACGCCGUUGUAUUGAGACGUUUCUGUGUUUAAAGUAAUGAAAUAAAUGUAAUAAAUACCCAGAAACUGAAUGUCUGCAGGUUUGGUCAUGAAUUCAAAUUUAAGGCUGUUUGAACAACAAUAUAUCAGGAAUAUGGAAGCAAAUCAGACUCAUCAGAUUCUGAAUUUUAAAAGCUGCUGAAUUUCUUACCUUGAAUUUUUUUUGCAUCAAAAUUACGUAUGUGAAUUUUAUAUGCCUGAAUUUAGCUCAUCAAAAUUCUAAAAACCAGUUAAAAAUCCAAUGUCUUCAAAAUUCGCCAUCAAAAAAAUUCGAUGUGUUCAAAAUUCACCAUCAAAAAAUUCAGUGUUCAAAAUUCGCCAUCAAAAAAAUUCAAUGUUCAAAAUUCGCCAUCAAAAAAUUCAAUGUUAAAAAAUUCGCUGUUCACAUCCGGGGGACUCAGGCGUAAACAAUCGAUCCUGGCCAAACUCGAACCAACGCCCAGCCAAUCAAGUGGCGCUCCUCCGGUCAUGUGACGCAGACGGUUCACGUCACAAGACCGGGGUCAACCACGUUAACAGCAUGAACAACGGCGCUUCAAUGCACAAUGAAGGACGUCUGCAGAGACUGAGAAAGAGUCUCACCACAUCCUGACAUGAGGAAAAAGACUUUAUUGAAGACUACAAUGAGAAAAACUAUCAGACAGCAGACGGCUGCAUUCAAGUCUGUAGCUGCUGAAUUCAUGGAUGAAUCAUCUGGCACUAGAGAGGAAGACCAUCAAACAUCCACGUCAGCUGAUGGAGGUCCAAGGGUCUCACCAAACAACCUACAGAGUGAAGACCUCAAAUCUGAUUGGACGGCCUCCUAUUCAGCCACAUCUGUGAACAAAUGCCUCUAAGUUGAUUUGUUUUCUAAAAUAAAUCUAGUUUGAGUCCUAA